CAGCCGCCACGGUAAUACGAAGGUCCCGAGCGUUGUUCGGAAUCACUGGGCGUAAAGGGAGCGUAGGCGGCGUGGUAAGUCAGAUGUGAAAUCCCGGGGCUCAACCCCGGAACUGCAUCCGAUACUGCCAUGCUAGAGGAUUGGAGAGGUAGCUGGAAUUCUUGGUGUAGCAGUGAAAUGCGUGGAGAUCAAGAGGAACACUCGUGGCGAAAGCGAGCUACUGGACAAUAACUGACGCUGAGGCUCGAAGGCCAGGGUAGCGAAAGGGAUUAGAGACCCCAGUAGUCCCUGUCUCUUAUAC
rnacentral:rRNA from 1 species